GGGUCUAGUGUGCCAAUAUGGCAGCCCCCAUAUGACCUCGGAGGUUGGCGGUAAGGAGGGCGAGCGCUGGGAGUGACGCGUGUCUGAGCUCCACCCUCCCACUCUCCCUUCGUCUCCCCUCCUGCUGUCCCUGGCCUCCCUCGUCCACCACCGCACCGCUCCCUGCUCCAGAGGCACCCAUUCCAGCCCCAAGACUGACUGUGCCCUGAAGAGGAGAGCCUUGACUUCAUCCUCUUCUUCAUCCCCAGCAUCACCAGUCCAGCUCACACUUCAUCCUUCCUCCCCAGGAUGCCUCUGAGGCCCCUUGUUUUCAUUCGCUGAGUUGUUCACAGGCACUUAGGUGUCUACUCCGUGACCAGUCCGUGCUGAACACAGGGAACCCAGGAGAGAGCUGAGCACGGCUGACCCGUCUGUGCCCUGGGUCAGCUGGGAUCCAGAGAUGAAUAUUCUAUGCCGGGGAUGCAGUGAGCUCCCCUGCCCCACAGACAUCCCCAACAAGGCUGCCUAACCUCACAUAUGUCUUUAUCAAGAUUGAUAGCAAAACCAAGACUCUUUCUGUCUCAUAAAUGUUCAGAAGAAAAACAAGUUAGCCUCCAUCGAAUACCACCUGAAUUGCUGGUCAUUCUUGGCCUUAUUAUAAGUGGAACAACCAGGUACCACAAACAUCAAGAUUUGAUAUGGUAAGACAUCCACAUCAUCACCUACUCAAUGUUCUCUAAAAAAUUAAACCUGAAAGCAACUCAGCCUCUAGUUCUAAUUGCAACGUGCAGGUAAAGUGGAGAGAGAGGAACAAGCUAAAUGACACAACAAGGACACAGGUGAACAAAUCCAGAUCAUGGGACACUCCACAGGGUCUGUGACCUGCUUUCUCCAAGAAGCCCAGGGCACAGGGGCUGAAAGGAAGUGGAGAAGAGAGAGUGAAGGAGAGUUCACAGCCUACUGCAAGGUCUCCAUGACGACAGAGGAACAAAGACCCCAUUCCUGCGAGCCUCCGUCACCUCCCCAAGCUGGAUAACACAGAUGGAGCCUCAGGUCCUGGGAAGGACACAGGCUCAGCCAGCAGCCUCCACCUGGAGACAGUCUCCACUCAGCUGAGAUUGACAAAGGCCUCGGUAAUAUGCAUACUGGAACCCAUAAACUUGAUCUUUUUCCACUCGGUUUUUUUUUAACAGCUUUAUAGAGGCAUAACUCACAUACCAUAAAAUUUACCUAUUUUAAGAGCACGGCUAAAUGACUUUUCACCAGUCGACAGAGCUGUGCAGCAGCCCAAUGCCAGAACAUUCCCCCGACCCCAGGGGACCCCUCCUGCCCUCUGGCCACCCACCCCCACCAUCCACCCAGCCCCUGGCAACCACUAGUCUGCCUUCUGCCUCUCCGGCUCUGAAACUCCGAAUGUUUCAAAUAAACGGAGCCCCUGCAAAACGUGA